UACGUAGGGUGCAAGCGUUGUCCGGAAUUAUUGGGCGUAAAGAGCUCGUAGGCGGUUUGUUGCGUCGGCUGUGAAAGCCCGGGGCUCAACCCCGGGUCGGCCGUCGAUACUCUCGUGCUUGAGCACUGUAGAGGCAGGUGGAAUUCCGGGUGUAGCGGUGGAAUGCGUAGAGAUCCGGAAGAACACCGGUGGCGAAGGCGGCCUGCUGGGCAGUCGCUGACACUGAGGCGCGACAGCGUGGGGAGCAAACAGG
rnacentral:rRNA from 1 species